UCUAUAGGGCUCUGGUCAAAAGUAGUGCUCUCUAUAGGGCUCUGGUCAAAAGUAGUGCUCUCUAUAGGGCUCUGGUCAAAAGUAGUGCUCUCUAUAGGGCUCUGGUCAAAAGUAUAGUGCUCUCUAUAGGGCUCUGGUCAAAAGUAGUGCUCUCUAUAGGGCUCUGGUCAAAAGUAUAGUGCUCUAUAUUGGGCUCUGGUCAAAAGUAGUGCUCUCUAUAGGGCUCUGGUCAAAAGUAGUGCUCUCUAUAGGGCUCUGGUCAAAAGUAUAGUGCUCUCUAUAGGGCUCUGGUCAAAAGUAGUGCUCUAUAUUGGGCUCUGGUCAAAAGUAGUGCUCUAUAUAGUGCUCUGGUCAAAAGUAGUGCUCUCUAUAGGGCUCUGGUCAAAAGUAUAGUGCUCUAUAUUGGGCUCUGGUCAAAAGUAGUGCUCUAUAUAGGGCUCUGGUCAAAAGUAGUGCUCUAUAGGGAAUAUGGUGCCAUUUUGAGCCUGUGGGACGACGUGUUUUCUUAUCCAGAAGACAUGACGCCAGCGGAAUGCAGGGUUCUAUGUUCUUUACUUCCAUUUUUCCUGCAUUAAGUUAUUGUUGUUAGUCACGAUGUUAGACCAAUGACUGAAGGAGAAAUGUCAU